rnacentral:rRNA from 2 species
UAGGGAAUCUUCGGCAAUGGACGAAAGUCUGACCGAGCAACGCCGCGUGAGUGAAGAAGGUUUUCGGAUCGUAAAACUCUGUUGGUAGAGAAGAACGUUGGUGAGAGUGGAAAGCUCAUCAAGUGACGGUAACUACCCAGAAAGGGACGGCUAACUACGUGCCAGCAGCCGCGGUAAUACGUAGGUCCCGAGCGUUGUCCGGAUUUAUUGGGCGUAAAGCGAGCGCAGGUGGUUUAUUAAGUCUGGUGUAAAAGGCAGUGGCUCAACCAUUGUAUGCAUUGGAAACUGGUAGACUUGAGUGCAGGAGAGGAGAGUGGAAUUCCAUGUGUAGCGGUGAAAUGCGUAGAUAUAUGGAGGAACACCGGUGGCGAAAGCGGCUCUCUGGCCUGUAACUGACACUGAGGCUCGAAAGCGUGGGGAGCAAACA